rnacentral:rRNA from 1 species
UACGUAGGAUGCGAGCGUUAUCCGGAUUUAUUGGGUUUAAAGGGUGCGUAGGCGGACUGUCAAGUCAGCGGUAAAAUUGAGAGGCUCAACCUCUUCCCGCCGUUGAAACUGGUGGUCUUGAGUGGAUGAGAAGUACGCGGAAUGCGUGGUGUAGCGGUGAAAUGCAUAGAUAUCACACAGAACUCCGAUUGCGAAGGCAGCGUACCGGCAUCCAACUGACGCUGAGGCACGAAAGCGUGGGGAUCAAACAGG